GUGCUUUGGCAACACGUGUGCUAAAACUGGAACGAUACAGAGAGGAUUAGCACAGCCCCUGCCUGAGGAUGACAUGCAAAUUUGUGAAGCAUUCCAUAUUUUU
rfam:Colius striatus contig60484, whole genome shotgun sequence.